rnacentral:rRNA from 1 species
UUCGUAGGCGAUCUCGUAAGUUACAUUUCAAAUACCAGGGCUCAACCUUGGAAAGGGACGUAAUACUGCGAGAAUAGAAAUACUUAGGGGCUAUCGGAACUUACUAUGUAGGGGUGAAAUCCGUUGAUAUGGUAAGGAACGCCAAGGGCGAAGGCAGAUAGCUGGGAGUUAUUUGACGCUGAGGAACGAAAGCUAGGGUAGCGAAAG